GAUGAACGCUGGCGGCGUGCCUAAUACAUGCAAGUCGAGCGAACGGACGAGAAGCUUGCUUCUCUGAUGUUAGCGGCGGACGGGUGAGUAACACGUGGAUAACCUACCUAUAGGACUGGGAUAACUUCGGGAAACCGGAGCUAAUACCGGAUAAUAUUUUGAACCGCAUGGUUCAAAAGUAAAAGACGGUCUUGCUGUCACUUAUAGAUGGAUCCGCGCUGCAUUAGCUAGUUGGUAAGGUAACGGCUUACCAAGGCAACGAUGCAUAGCCGACCUGAGAGGGUGAUCGGCCACACUGGAACUGAGACACGGUCCAGACUCCUACGGGAGGCAGCAGUAGGGAAUCUUCCGCAAUGGGCGAAAGCCUGACGGAGCAACGCCGCGUGAGUGAUGAAGGUCUUCGGAUCGUAAAACUCUGUUAUUAGGGAAGAACAUAUGUGUAAGUAACUGUGCACAUCUUGACGGUACCUAAUCAGAAAGCCACGGCUAACUACGUG
rnacentral:rRNA from 1 species